GAUGAAGAACGCAGCGAAAUGCGAUACCUAAUGUGAAUUGCAAAUUCAGUGAAUCAUCGAGUCUUUGAACGCACAUUGCGCCCCCUGGUAUUCCGGGGGGCAUGCCUGUCCGAGCGUCAUUGCUGCCCUCAAGCACGGCUUGUGUGUUGGGCCCCGUCCUCCGAUCCCGGGGGACGGGCCCGAAAGGCAGCGGCGGCACCGCGUCCGGUCCUCGAGCGUAUGGGGCUUUGUCACCCGCUCUGUAGGCCCGGCCGGCGCUUGCCGAUCAACCCAAAUUUUUAUCCAGGUUGACCUCGGAUCAGGUAGGGAUACCCGCUGAACUUAAGCAUAUCAAUAAGCGGAGGA
rnacentral:misc_RNA from 1 species